rnacentral:rRNA from 1 species
CUACGGGGCGCACCAGUGAGGAAUAUUGCACAAUGGGGGGAACCCUGAUGCAGCAACGCCGCGUGGAGGAUGACGCAUUUCGGUGUGUAAACUCCUUUUAUAUGUCAAGAAAAUGACGGUAGCAUAUGAAUAAGCACCGGCUAACUCCGUGCCAGCAGCCGCGGUAAUACGGAGGGUGCAAGCGUUACUCGGAAUCACUGGGCGUAAAGGACGCGUGGGCGGGUUGGAAAGUCAGGUGUGAAAUCCUACAGCUUAACUGUAGAACUACACUUGAAACUUCUAAUCUAGAGUAUGGGAGGGGGAGAUGGAAUUAGUGGUGUAGGGGUAAAAUCCGUAGAUAUCACUAGGAAUACCUAAAGCGAAGGCGAUCUCCUGGAACAUUACUGACGCUAAGGCGUGAAAGCGUGGGGAGCAAACAGGAUUAGAUACCCCUGUAGUC